UAACUAGGUUAGUAUCCGUGCUAUGCAUGAUAUCUUUGGUUUAAUCAAUCAUUCAAUCUCAGUUCUGUGUAUUCCACAGAAACUCUACUAUAUUUUCAUUAUCUUUAAACAUGUAGUUGUUUAUCAUGUAUUAUUGGCACCAACUAAAUAUAUUUAGUCUGGUCAAACCAUAUUUUGUUUAGUAUAUGUAGUUUCCUCGGUUUGUAGCAUGGAAAAUAUAUGUCUAUAGUUGGUAUGUACGUUUGGAAACGUAAUUGUAUAUUUUGUAUAUGUAUAUGUACACAUAGUAGAUUUGUAUAAUUUUCGUGUAUGUCAUUAACAUGUAAGUGAAU
rnacentral:sRNA from 1 species